rnacentral:rRNA from 1 species
UGGGAUCGCCCUUCCGAAUUCGUCGACAACAGAGUUUGAUCCUGGCUCAGGACGAACGCUGGCGGCGUGCUUAACACAUGCAAGUCGAACGAUGAAGCCGGGGCUUUUUGUUUUGGUGGAUUAGUGGCGAACGGGUGAGUAAUACGUGAGUAACCUGCCCUUGUCUUUGGGAUAAGCCUGGGAAACUGGGUCUAAUACCGGAUAUUCUGCUUUUGCCGCAUGGUGGGGGUUGGAAAGAUUUUUUGGAUGGGGAUGGGCUCACGGCCUAUCAGCUUGUUGGUGGGGUGAUGGCCUACCAAGGCGUCGACGGGUAGCCGGCCUGAGAGGGUGACCGGCCACAUUGGGACUGAGAUACGGCCCAGACUCCUACGGGAGGCAGCAGUGGGGAAUAUUGCACAAUGGACGCAAGUCUGAUGCAGCGACGCCGCGUGGGGGAUGAAGGCUUUCGGGUUGUAAACUCCUUUCAGUACAGAAGAAGCAUUUUUUGUGACGGUAUGUGCAGAAGAAGCGCCGGCUAACUACGUGCCAGCAGCCGCGGUAAUACGUAGGGCGCGAGCGUUGUCCGGAAUUAUUGGGCGUAAAGAGCUCGUAGGCGGUUUGUUGCGCCUGCUGUGAAAGACCGGGGCUUAACUUCGGGGUUGCAGUGGGUACGGGCAGACUAGAGUGUGGUAGGGGUAAUUGGAAUUCCUGGUGUAGCGGUGGAAUGCGCAGAUAUCAGGAGGAACGCCGAUGGCGAAGGCAGGUUACUGGGCCAUUACUGACGCUGAGGAGCGAAAGCGUGGGUAGCGAACAGGAUUAGAUACCCUGGUAGUCCACGCUGUAAACGUUGGGCACUAGGUGUGGGGCCUUUUCCACGGGUUCUGCGCCGUAGCUAACGCUUUAAGUGCCCCGCCUGGGGAGUGCGGCCGCAAGGUUAAAACUCAAAGGAAUUGACGGGGGCCCGCACAAGCGGCGGAGCAUGCGGAUUAAUUCGAUGCAACGCGAAGAACCUUACCAAGGCUUGACAUACACUGCGAUGUGCCAGAGAUGGUGCAGCCUUCGGGGUGGUGUACAGGUGGUGCAUGGUUGUCGUCAGCUCGUGUCGUGAGAUGUUGGGUUAAGUCCCGCAACGAGCGCAACCCUUGUCCUGUGUUGCCAGCAUGUUGUGGUGGGGACUCACGGGAGACUGCCGGGGUUAACUCGGAGGAAGGUGGGGAUGACGUCAAAUCAUCAUGCCCCUUAUGUCUUGGGCUUCACGCAUGCUACAAUGGCCGGUACAGAGGGUUGCGAGCCUGUGAGGGUGAGCUAAUCCCUUAAAGCUGGUCUCAGUUCGGAUUGGGGUCUGCAACUCGACCCCAUGAAGUCGGAGUCGCUAGUAAUCGCAGAUCAGCAACGCUGCGGUGAAUACGUUCUCGGGCCUUGUACACACCGCCCGUCACGUCACGAAAGUUGGUAACACCCGAAGCCCGUGGCCUAACCUUUGUGGGGGGAGCGGUCGAAGGUGGGAUUGGCGAUUGGGACGAAGUCGUAACAAGGUAGCCGUAAGCUUGGAUCCCGGGAAGGGCGAUCCA